rnacentral:tRNA from 1 species
GCGGGGGUGCCCGAGCAAGGUCAAAGGGGUCGGGCUUAGGAUCCCCGAUGGUGUAGGCCUGCGUGGGUUCAAAUCCCACCCCCC